rnacentral:rRNA from 1 species
GACGAACGUUGGCGGCGUGCUUAAUACAUGCAAGUCAACUGAAGCACCGGUAGUAAUACUGGUGUGGAGGUGGCGCACGGGUGAGUAACACGUAGGUAAUCUGCCUUCGGGUCUGACAUAACCCCGAGAAAUCGGGGCUAAUAGCAGAUGAUGCAGCGGCUUGACAUCAAGACAGUUGUUAAAGCUUCGGCGCCUGAAGAUGAGCCUGCGUCUGAUUAGCUAGUUGGCGGAGUAAUAGCCCACCAAGGCGACGAUCAGUAGCUGGUCUGAGAGGAUGAUCAGCCACACUGGAACUGAGACACGGUCCAGACUCCUACGGGAGCAGCAGUAAGGAAUAUUGCUCAAUGGGAGAAAUCCUGAAGCAGCAACGCCGCGUGAGGGAUGAAGGCUUUUGCUCGUAAACCUCUGUAGUGAGGAAAAUUCCAUUCUAUGGAAUAUGAUGGUA